ACUCAAAUGAAUUGACGGGGAGCCGCACAAGCAGUGGAGCGUGUUGUUUAAUUCGAUGGUAAGCGAAGAACCUUACCAAGGCUUGACAUCCUAGGAAUUUUGGUGAAAGCCGAGAGUGCCUUCGGGAACCUAGUGACAGGUGUUGCAUGGCCGUCGUCAGCUCGUGUCGUGAGAUGUUUGGUUAAGUCCAUCAACGAGCGCAACCCUUAUGAUUAGUUGAAUUUUUCUAAUCAGACUGCCCCGGUAACGGGGAGGAAGGGGGGGAUGAUGUCAGGUCCGUAUUACCCUUACGCCUUGGGCGACAAACGCGCUACAAUGGCCGGUACAAUGGGCAGCUAAGCCGCGAGGCGGAGCAAAUCCCAUCAAAGCCGGUCCCAGUUCGGAUUGCAGGCUGAAACUCGCCUGCAUGAAGUUGGAAUUGCUAGUAAUCGCAGAUCAGAAUGCUGCGGUGAAUACGUUCCCGGCUCUUGUACACACCGCCCGU
rnacentral:rRNA from 1 species